AUACAAUUCAAUGGUUUUUAAUAAAUUUAUAGAGUUGCUCAAUUGUCACAAUAAUUUAGAACAUUGUCAUCACCCUAACAAGAAACUUUGUACCCAUUAGCUGUCAUCUCCCUUCCCCUCUCCCCACCUCUCCUCACUCCUCAGUCCCAAGCAACCACUAGUCUACUUUCUUCCUCUAUAAAUGUGCCUUUUCUGGACAUUUCGUAUAAAGCUAAAUAAAAGAUGACAUUACUUAUUGUAACAUAAUCCCGAUUAUGAUAUGUCCAAUCCACCCUUGUGGACAAGCACAUGCAUAUUUACCCAAAUUCACAUAUCCAAAUCAAAGGAGGCACACUUCGAUAUCAAAGUGGAUUGCCUUCCAUCAUUUAUACUUCUCUUUAUUUUCCAACUUUCUGCACUGGGGAUGCGUUGGUUCUCUAUCAAAUGUUGUUCUUUUGAAUUUUAACAGUUUUUAGGCCACUUAGGUCAUAUUGAUGAUGCUGUGAAGUGAUUGUAGAGGGUGUAUAGGGUCUUCAUUUUUAUGAAGUAAUGAAGAAUUAGACUAAUGUUGAAAUAUGUCUACUUCAUGAUGAACCUCUCUUUUCAAGUUUAGCAGCUUUACCUUUUAGUCCACAUUUUCCCAAUCCUUUAUUAUAAAUUUGAUUUCUGCUUACACAUGAUAUAGUUUGUAAGAGCUUUUAAAUCCUUUCUGGAAUUAGGCCCAAUAUAAACAAACUACAGGUAAAUCAUAUCAAAGAUUGACCCAUUUAAUACAGAUAUGAGCGAGAAAUGGAUGAGAGAGGAAAACCCUCAGGGACUGGAACCUGUAGUCACAUACCUCAGCUCACCUUUCCAGAUUUGCCAACAAGGAGAACCCGUGACUGAUUUGGAUUCUCUGCUUUCUGUUCUUGUUCCCUGGAGGCGUUCCUUCUGUGUAAGGAAACGUCAGAUUUGGGAACUAGACAAGCUAUUUCAGAAUUACGCGUGGUGUUGAUUACAAAUGCGAGGCUCACUAAAUCAAGAGCUCCAGAAGCAGCGUCUUGGAAUUUGUCUUUAACGACAACCCUGGUGCUUCCAGUGUACACACAAGUCCAGAAGCCCAGAGUGGAAGCAGAGGCGAGAGGCUGGGGUGUCACACUGACAGACAACGACCCCACCGACCACCCGCACAGGACCCUCCUUUUCUGAGGAAGGCACAGGUUGACUAAAUGAUUGCAACGUGGCAAUCUUGAGUUUCUAGACUGUUGCCAGAAAGGCUUCCUUGGCCCUCAGCCAGGGCCCCACCCCUAUAAUCCUGCCUUCCCCCAACUCCUACCACGGGCUCCAAUCCCGAAGAUUUUGGGGGCCCCCGGAACUGGGCUUUUCUCACCACGGAUAAACAGUGUUUGUGUGUACAAACCCAGUGGCCUCCCCAGGAGACUGCAGACAUACUUUGUGGUACUUCACCUAAGUGUGGCUCUUCUGAGCGCAGAUCCACUUUCCCUCUGAGGCUGACUCUUCCAGGAUGGCCUUCCUCGGUUCCAGCUUGGGCCACCCUGGGCCACCCUGGGGCCCCUCUGCACACAGGUGAGAUCUACCAGGAAAGCAGUUCCAACGGCUUAACUUGCCUCAGGCUGGGUCUUGGGGAGAAAUGUUUCAUUCCCAGGUGCAAAAGCAGAAAACACGCAAACGUAAGUUGUUUGCUAAAGUGAAAAAUGUGAGCGUGGACAUUCCUUAAUACACGGUUUAUGUUUCAGUGUAAGUUUUCCUGUAACAUUGGGGUUAAAGAGGAAAGGAACUGGAAGUGGAAUUGGUAAUUCGGUAACUUCCAUUCUGCUUUUAGGUUUGUGUAUCCAGAAAAAAACAAUCGCCGCUUUAUCAAGAGAAAGACAUCUGAAGGCAGUCUCAGAUUGCAAAUUUAAAAUAAAUUUUCUGCAAAGCAGAUACAAUUUGUUCUCCUUGAGUUAUGGAAACAAAGAGGCUUUAGGACGGUGCUGUCCUCCCAUCUUCAGAUGUCAGAGACACCUUUCUCCUCUUGAAAGAGACAAUUUUGUUCUGCUGAUGGCAGUACAGGCACCGUAUCAGCAGCACCCGGAAGAGCACCUGGCAGGAUCUAAGCGCUUGGAAAUGCUCUUGAUGAAGAAGAAACUAUAAAACCGCUCAUUAUAAAAUCAUCUUGGUGUGUUGGCUCUAACGUUUGUUUUCAUAUCCUGCGCCUACCUCCUCAAACACCUCCCCGUCACCCCUCCAUCUGCUCGCACAUCAACAAACAGGCAUGGAGCACAGGCUGGAGAGCAGCAUGCACCUGGCUCUGAGGCGUCCCCAGGGACAGUCAUGUGAACAGGCGGUCCGGCCCCAGGUUUUCAGGGUCUAGUCCAGAAGGGGGCACGUGAGGCUAGCGUUUGGAGUUGUUAGGCCUCUGCAACUACCUGAAGAUGGAAGAGAAGGUAUCCUGUGCUCUGUGCUCAGAGGAGAGAAGGAAGGCCGCUGCGGCAGAGGCAAAGUCACGUGUCCCUGCCAGCACGCGGCUAGAAUAACUCAGGCAGGAGGAGGCCAGAGAAGGACGCAGAGGGGGACCAGCCGUGCACCAGACGCACAGAGAGCAAAACCGU